rnacentral:rRNA from 1 species
GACGACGUUGAUAGGUCGGGUGUGUAAGCGCAGCGAUGCGUUGAGCUAACCGAUACUAAUGAACCGUGAGGCUUAACCUUACAACGCCGAAG